CUAUGUGACCAGCCUUGUGCUCGAAGCGAAUGUGGCUGCCCGCGCGUUCGUCAAUCCCCGGAGCUCACCGGUGCAGCACUCCGAAAGCACGAAAUAAAGGCUUGUUUUCCCAUCAUUAAUCUGCCACACCACCUGCGGUGGGAUGACUGGCCGGGAAUUUUCUUAACUCCCUCUCUUUACCGCCCUUCCGAUUAUAUGUAUAAUAUACGGAUACUAUGCAUAUAUGCUGUUUGAAUGGUACGAACAAAAACGCCUGGAGAACCUCGACAAGCACGGAAUUGAUUUCCUCGAUGCCAAGGAAAUUUGGCAAGGCGAAGUUUUGGAGGUUCCCUCGGCGCAGCAGGAGCACGGGGAACAGCG
rnacentral:misc_RNA from 1 species